rnacentral:rRNA from 1 species
AGAGUUUGAUCCUGGCUCAGGACGAACGCUGGCGGCGUGCCUAACACAUGCAAGUCGAGCGGGGAUGAGCUGGUCAGCUUGCUGAUUGGCUUAUCCUAGCGGCGGACGGGUGAGUAACGCGUGAGCAACCGACCUUGUACUGGGGGAUAACAGCUGGAAACAGCUGCUAAUACCGCAUAAGACUACGGCACCGCAUGGUGCUGUAGUAAAAGGUGCCGGAAGGCGCCGGUACAAGACGGGCUCGCGUCCCAUUAGCUAGUUGGUGGGGUAACGGCCUACCAAGGCGACGAUGGGUAGCCGGCCUGAGAGGGUGUACGGCCACACUGGGACUGAGACACGGCCCAGACUCCUACGGGAGGCAGCAGUGGGGGAUAUUGCGCAAUGGGGGAAACCCUGACGCAGCGACGCCGCGUGAGCGAGGAAGGCCUUCGGGUCGUAAAGCUCUGUCCCUGGGGACGAAUUAAGUGACGGUACCUGGGGAGGAAGCCCCGGCUAACUACGUGCCAGCAGCCGCGGUAAUACGUAGGGGGCGAGCGUUGUCCGGAGUUACUGGGCGUAAAGGGUGCGUAGGCGGCCCAUUAAGUCAGGUGUGAAAAACCCUGGCUCAACCGGGGUAUUGCACUUGAAACUGGUGGGCUUGAGUGCAGGAGAGGGAAGCGGAAUUCCUGGUGUAGCGGUGAAAUGCGUAGAUAUCAGGAGGAACACCAGUGGCGAAGGCGGCUUCCUGGCCUGUAACUGACGCUGAGGCACGAGAGCGUGGGGAGCAAACGGGAUUAGAUACCCUGGUAGUCCACGCUGUAAACGAUGGAUACUAGGUGUAGGGGGCGAUGUAGCCUUCUGUGCCGAAGUUAACGCAAUAAGUAUCCCGCCUGGGGAGUACGGCCGCAAGGUUGAAACUCAAAUGAAUUGACGG